GCCUUACUCUAUGUAGCAGUUCUUCUUCCGUCCAUUCAUAUCCGAGAUUUAGAUAACCAUGAAUGAUGAGGUGACGUGGAUUCCGAAGAAAUGUAGAAGGGUGCAAGAAUCUCUUUGCGUAUGAGACAUGGAUUAGGCAAGUGUCUCAUUUUAUAACAGGAAAGAAAGGAACCAUUUAUUCGUUUUCUUUCUUUUGUUUUGUUUCCCC
rnacentral:lncRNA from 1 species